AUUGAACGCUGGCGGCAGGCUUAACACAUGCAAGUCGAACGAGUGGCGGACGGGUGAGUAAUGCCUGGGAAUCUGGCUUAUGGAGGGGGAUAACUACGGGAAACUGUAGCUAAUACCGCGUACCAUAGGAUGAGCCCAAGUGGGAUUAGGUAGUUGGUGAGGUAAAGGCUCACCAAGCCGACGAUCCCUAGCUGGUCUGAGAGGAUGACCAGCCACACUGGGACUGAGACACGGCCCAGACUCCUACGGGAGGCAGCAGUGGGGAAUAUUGCGCAAUGGGCGCAAGCUGAUGCAGCCAUGCCGCGUGAGUGAAGAAGGCCUUCGGGUUGUAAAGUUCUUUCGGUAGCGAGGCGUUACCUGCAGAAGAAGCACCGGCUAACUCCGUGCCAGCAGCCGCGGUAAUAC
rnacentral:rRNA from 1 species